rnacentral:rRNA from 1 species
UACGUAGACGGUUGGAUAAGUCAGAUGUGAAAGCCCCGGGCUCAACCUGGGAAUGGCAUUUGAGACUGUUCAGCUAGGGUGCGGAAGAGGGAAGCGGGAUUUCCGGUGUAGCGGUGAAAUGCGUAGAUAUCGGAAGGAACACCAGUGGCGAAAGCGGCUUCCUGGUCCAGCACCGACGUUCAGGUACGAAAGCAUGGGGAGCAAACAGGAUUAGAUACCCUGGUAGUCCAUGCCAUAAACGAUGAGGACUAGACGUUGAGAGGGUAAGCCUCGCAGUGUCGUAGCUAACGCGCUAAGUCCUCCGCCUGGGGAGUACGGCCGCAAGGUUGAA